AUUGAACGCUGGCGGCAUGCCUUACACAUGCAAGUCGAACGGCAGCACGGGGGCAACCCUGGUGGCGAGUGGCGAACGGGUGAGUAAUACAUCGGAACGUGCCCAGUCGUGGGGGAUAACGUAGCGAAAGUUACGCUAAUACCGCAUACGAUCUCUGGAUGAAAGCGGGGGACCGCAAGGCCUCGCGCGAUUGGAGCGGCCGAUGGCAGAUUAGGUAGUUGGUGGGGUAAAAGCUUACCAAGCCUCCGAUCUGUAGCUGGUCUGAGAGGACGAUCAGCCACACUGGGACGGAGAGACGGCCCAGACUCCUACGGGAGGCAGCAGUGGGGAAGUUUGGACAAUGGGCGCAAGCCUGAUCCAGCAAUGCCGCGUGCAGGACGAAGGCCUUCGGGUUGUAAACUGCUUUUGUACGGAGCGAAACGGCUUCCACUAAUACUGGGGGCUAAUGACGGUACCGUAAGAAUAAGCACCGGCUAACUACGUGCCAGCCGCCGCCGUAA
rnacentral:rRNA from 1 species